UACGUAGGGUGCGAGCGUUGUCCGGAAUUAUUGGGCGUAAAGAGCUUGUAGGCGGUUUGUCGCGUCGGGAGUGAAAACCUUGGGCUUAACUCAGGGCUUGCUUUCGAUACGGGCAGACUAGAGGUAUGCAGGGGAGAACGGAAUUCCUGGUGUAGCGGUGAAAUGCGCAGAUAUCAGGAGGAACACCAGUGGCGAAGGCGAGUCCCUGGACGAUACCUGACACUGAGGCACGAAAGCCAAGGGAGCAAACAGG
rnacentral:rRNA from 1 species